GACGGAAGGUGCAAGCGUUGCUCGGAAUCACUGGGCGUAAAGGGUGCGUAGGCGGCUUGGUAGGUCUGGUGUGAAAGCCCCGGGCUCAGCCCGGGAAGGGCACUAGAAACUGCCAAGCUAGAGUGCCGGAGGGGAGAGUGGAAUCCUGGUGUAGCGGUGAAAUGCGCAGAUAUCAGGAGGAACACCGAUGGCGAAGGCAGCUCACUGGGACGGUACUGACGCUGAGACGCGAAAGCGUGGGGAGCAAACAGG
rnacentral:rRNA from 1 species